AUUGAACGCUGGCGGCAUGCCUAACACAUGCAAGUCGAACGGCUUUAAGACUUCGGUUUUAAGAUAGUGGCGGACGGGUGAGUAACGCGUAGGAAUCUACCUUGUAGAGGGGGACAACCCGGGGGAAACUCGGGCUAAUACCGCAUAAUAAUCGAGAGAUGAAAGGGUGGGACCUUCGGGCCACUCGCUAUAAGAAGAGCCUGCGUUGGAUUAGCUAGUUGGUGGGGUAAAGGCCUACCAAGGCGACGAUCCAUAACUGGUCUGAGAGGAUGACCAGUCACACUGGGACUGAGACACGGCCCAGACUCCUACGGGAGGCAGCAGUGGGGAAUAUUGGACAAUGGGGGCAACCCUGAUCCAGCAAUGCCGCGUGUGUGAAGAAGGCCUGCGGGUUGUAAGCACUUUUAGUGAUGAGGAAGGGGUUAUGUCGAAUAGGCAUAAUUUUUGACGUUAGUCGCAGAAAAAGCACCGGCUAACUCUGUGCCAGCCGCCGCAGUAA
rnacentral:rRNA from 1 species